CGAGCCCGGCGAGCAGCCGCAUGAUCGAUGUCUUGCCCGCCAGCGUCGGGCCGAGCAGCACGCUCAAUGUUCCGCGCUCAAGUGUCAGCGAGACAUCCCGAAUCCAGGGAACACCGUUGACCUCGCGCGAAACCUUGUCGAGGGUGACGCUCAUACACGGCCUCCCGCUUCCUUCAGCGGCCGGUCGAUGCCGCUGCGAUGCGUGGCGAUCCAGUCGUCGAGCGCCUUCACUUCAUCGGCUGACAGACGCAGACCCAGCUUGGACCGUCGCCAGACGAUGUCCUCGGCGGUGCGCGCGAACUCGUGCGCGA
rnacentral:misc_RNA from 1 species